rnacentral:rRNA from 1 species
AGCGAACGCUGGCGGCAGGCUUAACACAUGCAAGUCGAGCGGGCACUUUCGGGUGUCAGCGGCGGACGGGUGAGUAACGCGUGGGAACGUGCCCUCUGGUUCGGAAGAACUCAGGGAAACUUGAGCUAAUACCGGAUACGCCCUUUUGGGGAAAGGCUUGCUGCCGGAGGAUCGGCCCGCGUCUGAUUAGCUAGUUGGUGAGGUAACGGCUCACCAAGGCGACGAUCAGUAGCUGGUCUGAGAGGGUGAUCAGCCACACUGGGACUGAGACACGGCCCAGACUCCUACGGGAGGCAGCAGUGGGGAAUAUUGGACAAUGGGCGCAAGCCUGAUCCAGCCAUGCCGCGUGAGUGAUGAAGGCCUUAGGGUUGUAAAGCUCUUUUAUCCGGGACGAUAAUGACGGUACCGGAGGAAUAAGCCCCGGCUAACUUCGUG